rnacentral:rRNA from 1 species
UACGAAGGGUGCAAGCGUUAAUCGGAAUUACUGGGCGUAAAGCGUGCGUAGGCGGUUAUUUAAGUCUGUUGUGAAAUCCCCAGGCUCAACCUGGGAAUGGCAAUGGAUACUGGAUAGCUAGAGUGUGAUAGAGGAUGGUGGAAUUCCCGGUGUAGCGGUGAAAUGCGUAGAGAUCGGGAGGAACAUCAGUGGCGAAGGCGGCCAUCUGGAUCAACACUGACGCUGAGGCACGAAAGCGUGGGGAGCAAACAGG